rnacentral:rRNA from 1 species
GGACUACCGGGGUUUCUAAUCCUGUUUGCUCCCCACGCUGUCGCGCCUCAGUGUCAGUUACUGCCCAGCUGGCCGCCUUCGCCACCGGUCUUCUGCCGGAUCUCUACGCAUUCCACCGCUACACCCGGCAUUCUACCAGCCUCUACAGUACUCAAGUCUCGCAGUAUCCAUGGCAGACCCGGGGUUGAGCCCCGGGCUUUCACCACAGACUUACAAGACCACCUACGCGCCCUUUACGCCCAGUGAUUCCGGACAACGCUCGCACCCCCCGUAUUACCGCGGCUGCUGGCAC